GAAUGAUGCAGUUGAACAGGCCAAAACCUAACCGUACUCUUACUGUGGCUCAGCACUAUAGAUCCAGUUGCUCUUUCUGAAAUCUCUGAGGAUUCCAAACCCACGGAAAUCAGGUGAGCUCUGAACGCACGCUUGUAAAACGGCAGAUUUUUUUCCCCAAGUUACUAAAAAGUAAUGCAUAGUUUAUGAGUAUAGUGACAAAUAUCUUAUUAUUCCUGUCUAUAAGCUUUUAUCCCAACUGACCAAUGUAGUUUAGUCAUACAGUCUUCUCUCACAUAAGGAAACAAAGCUCUUUUCAAUGGUUGUGUUUCAGUGACAGUACUGUGGACCUUCUCGACCCAUUCCCUGUGGACACCAAGAGGUAUCUUCAUGCUCCUUCAUUAUCAUCAUGCUUUUUUAACGACAUGCAAACCCACACCAUGAGCGUUAUCACAAUGAAUACUGAGCACACUCCUUAUUGCAGCUCCCCAGCCCCUUCACGCCCACAGACAUCCCCAGAAAGCGAGCAGAGGUGAGUUCUGCAGCGAUGCUGCUGCUUCCCAGAAGGUACAUGGAAAGGUAGGAAUGAAGGACAAUGAAAAUUUGUAUCAGAUGUUGGAGUUUCCAAAAGUUACCGAUAAGGCAAAGCUAAUCAAAGUUUUAAACUAAGGAUAUUUACUGUGACGAGCAGUUGCCUGUGCACUUGAUGAAGCCCCCAUUAAAUAGCACGAGUCCAGUAUAUGUGUUUGUUUCGCUGUAGGAUGGAGAGCAUGGAGGGUGGUGCUCUGGAUGCCCUUGCAGAUACUGUUAUUCCUUUCAGCACAAACACAACAAGUCCAGAGGAAACCACCGGUGAUCCUGCAAGUGACCUCCAGAACUACACUAUCACAUUUGAGAGGAAAUCUUUAAAAAAUAACUCCCCGUGGAGCAAAUGGACAUCACCCACCGUAGCAGACCACAUGGAGCCAAAGACUGACAGCUCGUCCCCGUCCACAAUGGACAGGUAG
rnacentral:lncRNA from 1 species